GUCCUUGUAGUGCAAUGGAUAGCACGUUGGAUUUCUAAUCCAAUGCUCGUCUGUUCGAAUCCCACCUAGGAUG